rnacentral:rRNA from 1 species
UACGUAGGGGGCGAGCGUUGUCCGGAUUUAUUGGGCGUAAAGCGCACGCAGGCGGUCUGUUAAGUUUGGAGUGACAGUUGGUGGCUCAACCACCAAAGUGCUUUGAAAACUGAUAGACUUGAGGGCUUCAGAGGGACACGGAAUUCCGGGUGGAGUGGUGAAAUGCGUAGAGAUCCGGAGGAACACCAAAGGCGAAGGCAGUGUCCUGGGGAGUACCUGACGCUCAGGUGCGAAAGCCAGGGGAGCGAACGGG